rnacentral:lncRNA from 1 species
CCUUUAAGAGUGUGCUCCUAAUCUCAGCUCGUUACCUGUAUAAAAGACACCUGGGAGCCAGAAAUCUUUCUGAUUGAGAGGGGGUCAAAUACUUAUUUCCCUCAUUAAAAUGCAAAUCAAUUUAUAACAUUUUUGACAUGCGUUUUUCUGGAUUUUGUUGUUGUUAUUCUGUCUCUCACUGUUCAAAUAAACCUACCAUUAAAAUUAUAGACUGAUCAUUUCUUUGUCAGUGGGCAAACGUACAAAAUCAGCAGGGGAUCAAAUACUUUUUUCCCUCACUGUAUAUAAACACCAAAGCACAUUAUACAUGAUUUUGAUAGUCCGACUGACAAUGUUGAUCUCUGAGUGUCACUCUGUGCCUUUGUGGGGGAUAUUUGGGCAGUGGUUCUCAACCUGGGGUACUAGCAACCCUGGGGGUAUCUGGCCUAUUCACAGGGGGUACUUGGGAAGACUCGAAUACGUAUAAUUGAGGGGAUACUUUGUGCACAGCAUUAUGGACCUGAUUUUGACGUAAUAAAUGAUGCCUUUCUUGUGCACGCCUUUCCUACGCACUUCUCAGUAGUUGGUACUCAGACUUACCUUAUGAAGGUACGUAAUGAGGUUUGCUGACGAGGUUCCCUUACGCGCAAGAAAUAUAUUGGUUUGAUUCAUCCUGAAAGUUGUCAUAUUCAAGUUCAAUCCAUGAAAUAUUGGAAGGUGGGAAAAAGUGUACAAUAGGGGUUGAACAAUAGUCCUAUAAAUCUACCCUAAGCCUUACUAAUCAUCGAACUGUAUGACAACGGUCCAGUCGUUAUGAACCGUUCGCCGAGCUCCAGGUUUAACCUGCUAAGUGUGGUCUGAGUUCCAUAAUGAUUCAAAUAGGCUACAUGUCCGAAAUGAUUGCACAACAUUAGCCUAAUGCUAGCAACACUCAGGAAGUGGAAGGUUCUAGAUGGUAUGGCUCCAUUCUGCACUGACUGUAAUUUUUAUUCCGACAUUUGGAACAACACAAAUAAUCAUAACAUUUAAAACUAUAUAAAUAUAAAAUAUAUACAUAAAUAAGACUCAUAAGUAACAAAGACAAAUAGAAACAAAUUUGUGUUGAUUUGGCACUCAACCGUCAAUACAUUACCCAUCCCCCAGCACUGUCAACCAAGAAUCAAGACUUAUCAAAUUCACCUUGGUGGUGUGCUGACUGGUUUUAUAUUAUUCUUAAUGAUUUCGUACAAACCAGAAAAAAAUGCAACAAUAUGUCUGUGAAACUAUAUAUUCACAGUAUUAUGAAUGAAUUAUGGUUUAUUUGGUAACAUUUUGUAGUGUGACUGAUUUUACUAAUUGCAUUAGUACUGUACAAAGUUCGAGGUGCGCUAUUUGAUAGAUUCCCCGCUCCCCCUACCUCGGGCUUCCAGUGAGGAGACCUGAGGUCAACCUACCCCCGCUCCCCUCCCCAUCUUGUAUUUCUGAGUGGGAGACCUUCCCAGGCAGUAGCCUGUCUAGCUCACAAACUAGAAUCAGGGAGCCCAUUCCGACAAGGUUAAUUGACCCACCGUGACAUGAUAUCAUUGACGUGACGUGCAAAUGAGCGAUAGAAAACCGAUCGCGCAAAUGUCACCAUUCUGAAUUUUUUAUGCGGGCGCCCUGUGCUGCCCCUGGCAAGAUGCCGCCCUGGGCGGCUGCCCAUGUCGCCUAUACCUAAAUCCGCCACUGCCCUCAGGAACAGCUUACACAGACGUGAAAGAAAACUAACACUAAAGUGACAGUUAUAAAUGUGGGUAUAGUAUGUGGGUAUUACUGACGGUGGCCCCCGAUGGUGGCUAAUAUUUAACAUGAUACAUAUUUUUUUAUAAAACGAAGAAAAGCCUGGGCAUUGGCUAUAAUUAAACAAUUCUAAAGUGCAUACAUCAACUCUGCAGGUUCAGCCAUACAGAAGCCUAUAACUUGGGUUCAAGGGUUCUACCUGGAACCAAAAAUGUUCUCGUAUGGGGACAGCCGGAGAACCCUUUUAGGUUCUAUAUAGCACCUUUUAAUUUGAUUUUCAGAGAUCAUAAGGAAAAACCACCUAAAUCAAUUGGUGUGCUUUUACAAUCCCCUUCUCCAAAUGGAUUGCUCAUUUACCUAGCUCUUACCAAUAGCUCUUAUCCAUUUAUAAAUUACCAUGCAUGGAGAAUGCUGUUAUUUCUAUCGAAAUUUUUUUAAUACAUGCUUGGAACCAGCAGGUUCACUCUACCUUAUUCAAUGCUUUCCUCGUGCUUAAAGGUGAGGGAAUUAAGUCAAAGUCAGAAUAUGGCUUAUCUGUAGAUUUCUACCCAGAAGGAUUAGAGGGUGAAUAGCGUGCUUUUCUCAUGCUUAAGUUCAAGGUCAGAAUACGCAUAGAGAGAAAAGUGCAUUAAAAAGGGAAUCGGAGUCUAUGUGAUUCGGGGUACAGUUGACAAAAAAGGUUGAGAACCACUGAUACAGGGGAAUAUGGGGGAGGGUCAUCUUGUGUCAGAAUUAUUUGAAAGGUUCGUUAGUUUAUGGCUGUGUUCAACCAUUGGUGUCUUUUGAUUGAGUAGUAGAGAUAAUAUUUGGUCCCUCGUGUAUUAUACUCUGACUAGGGUGGAAGGUGUGAGUCAAAGAGAUGUUGGACGGGUCAAUUAAAAUGGAUAGUAAUAUUUAUUUGGGGAGUCCCAUCUGAAAGGAGUGGGAACGAAGCAUCCCUCCCCAAGGCACUAGAGUGACACUGAAAGUCAAGAACAGAGUAAAAAAGUGUUUAGGAUUGCAGCUGGAUACUCUGAAGUCAAGCACAUUUUUUUUCUUCUCCGUUUAUGUUUGAUAAUUAGCUUUUUUUCUAGUGUUGGACCUUCGCCCCAAAUAGGGAACAACUCUGAUAUGUGAAGAAAUGAAACAGAGCAUGUUUGUCUGUUUCGGGAAUGUCGAACAGAGUACAUCCAACUCUGGCAUAGUAUUGUGCUCUCAUCCUGGAUCUUUGGGCUAUUUUCAGCACCAAAUAAUUCAGAACACAGAGAUGAAUAGAGGGCGCACUUGCCACAAAGCCUGUUUUAGCAUGAAGAAGAGAAAAUGGACAACUUCAGAAAUGGGGAUAGUCCUCAAUGGCAAAGAUAAGACGUGUGCUCUCUUUUUUUUAUCUCUAUGCUUCAGAACCAUCUGGUGAAAAUGCCAUCGAUACAACUGUAGCUGCAUUGUCUUCCCAAUGGUGCCGCCAUUUCUAUCAAAAACUUGUACGACAAAGUGCAGAAAGCUGCAUUAUCUGGAAUAAGACUAUAGCUGAGGAGUAUGUACGGCAUGACAAUGAUAGAAGAGUUGGCUACUGUACAUACACUAUGGGGACAGGCUAGCGUCCAACAAUCCAUGUGACCUUACAAUCCAUACGCUCAUACACAGAUGAGCGUAUGUUUGUCUGUUUAUUUCUCACUGUGAAUUCUCUCAAACGACGCUUUUGAUAUCAGAUAUCAAGCAUUCUGAUCAAUUAAUAAACAGGGCCUUUGUUUUCCAUUAAUCUUAUUCACAACCCCAAGUCCCCUUGUGUGCAGGAAGGGAAUUAUGAGGGGUUGAAUUGGUACUGAAGCACUUAAAAAUGAAUUGACACCAGUAGCAUAACAAGCUGUGAAGGCACAAGGAUAGAGGAGGAGGAGGUAGAGGAUAUGUUAAGUUGACGAGGAUCCUUUUUGGGUCGAAUCAUGUUUAACGUUUGGGGAGCAGGGUUCAUACUCAAGCUUCCCUCCCACCCGACUCACGCACGUUCAACAAACACACUCAACACAACACAAUACUCUCACACGUCUGAAGUGAUGUCAACAUUUGAUGAAUGGUUGAAUGGUUUAUGGGUGUCUCAGUGAAGAGGGAGGUCCCACACACGUGCACACACACACACAAAGACACAGACAGACACACAGGCACACACACAUACACAUACACACACACACACACAGACACACACACACACCCCACAAACAGACACACACACACAGACACACACACACACAGACACACAUACACACCCCCCACACACCCAAACAAACACACAAGAGAGAAAGUAUGGGUGUGUGUCCAUGUACUGUUUCAGUACAAAGAACAUAGAUACAUGUGAUAACGUUUAUACAGUGUGAGACAUUCUAAUAAGGGAUUUGGAUGUGAGUAUCAAAUAAAAUAUGAAAUCGUCUGUUUCUGUUCAAUAAUGUAUUCAAGUUAUCUUUGAUUUAGGUAUUGUAUAUAUA